CCACGCCGACCGCCCGCACGCCCGCUUCGCCGCCGCCUCCGCCUCCGCCUCCUCCUCUUCCUCCUCCUCGACCUCCGGCCCCGAGCAGGCGGGAGGCAGGACCGCCUUCCUUUCCCCCGGCACAGCCACCCUGCAGGAUUUGGCUGGAAACCGUUGGUGUAUUCCUGAGAGCGUGGAAAGUCAGAGUAAAUAUUAUUGUCAGUCAUCCGAUGGAUGCCAGGAAACGGCAUAAACACGAUUGUCCCUCGCUGAAACACUUCACAACACCCUGGAAACGGUAGAUGCGUCUCCGACGGUCCAGCUGCACGGCCCGCAUCACAAAAGGAUUCCGCUCCGGUGCUGACGUGAAAGUUAAUUUAUGGGCAACAAGGUCUUUCUUCGUAGGGCUUCUGAACUUAAAAUAAAUUUUAAAGUGAGUCUA